rnacentral:rRNA from 1 species
GACGAACGCUGGCGGCGUGCUUAACACAUGCAAGUCGAGCGAUGAAACUUCUUCGGAAGUGGAUUAGCGGCGGACGGGUGAGUAACACGUGGGUAACCUGCCUCAUAGAGGGGAAUAGCCUUUCGAAAGGAAGAUUAAUACCGCAUAGGUAGUACUUUCGCAUGAUUGUACUAUUAAAGGAGCAAUCCGCUAUGAGAUGGACCCGCGUCGCAUUAGCUAGUUGGUGAGGUAACGGCUCACCAAGGCGACGAUGCGUAGCCGACCUGAGAGGGUGAUCGGCCACAUUGGGACUGAGACACGUCCCAGACUCCUACGGGAGGCAGCAGUGGGGAAUAUUGCACAAUGGGGGAAACCCUGAGGCAGCAACGCCGCGUGAGUGAUGACGGUCUUCGGAUUGUAAAGCUCUGUCUUUAGGGACGAUAAUGACGGUACCUAAGGAGGAAGCCACGGCUAACUACGUGCCAGCCGCCGCGGUAAUAC